CAGUAGCCACGGGUAAUACAGAGGGUGCGAGCGUUAAUCGGAUUUACUGGGCGUAAAGCGUGCGUAGGCGGCUUUUUAAGUCGGAUGUGAAAUCCCUGAGCUUAACUUAGGAAUUGCAUUCGAUACUGGGAAGCUAGAGUAUGGGAGAGGAUGGUAGAAUUCCAGGUGUAGCGGUGAAAUGCGUAGAGAUCUGGAGGAAUACCGAUGGCGAAGGCAGCCAUCUGGCCUAAUACUGACGCUGAGGUACGAAAGCAUGGGGAGCAAACAGGAUUAGAUACCCCAGUAGUCCCUGUCUCUUAUA
rnacentral:rRNA from 1 species